AGGAUGAACGCUGGCGGCGUGCCUAACACAUGCAAGUCGAACGUCCUGUCUCGCAAGAGGCAGGGAGUGGCGGACGGGUGAGUACCACGUGGGUCAUCUACCGUGAGGUGAGGAAUACCGGCGAGAAAUCGCCGACAAGACCGCAUAGGCUCGAUGCAAGUCGAGCAAAGCUCUUUCGAGAGAGGGAGCGCCACACGAGGAGCCUGCGCCCGAUUAGCUAGCUGGUGGAGUAACGGUUCACCAGGGCGACGAUCGGUAGCUGGUCUGAGAGGACGAUCAGCCACACUGGAUUGAGAACGGCCCAGACUCCGUACGGGGGCAGCAGUGAGGAAUUUUCGUCAAUGGGGCAACCCUGAACGAGCAACGCCGCGUGCAGGAAGAAGGUUUCGGAUCGUAAACUGCUUUUCGUCGGGGAAGAGAACGGACGGUACCCGAGGAAUCGAGCCCCGGCUAACGUACGCGCCAGCAGCCGCGGU
rnacentral:rRNA from 1 species